rnacentral:rRNA from 1 species
AUCUCUUGGCUCUCGCAUCGAUGAAGAACGCAGCGAAAUGCGAUACGUAAUGUGAAUUGCAGAAUUCAGUGAAUCAUCGAAUCUUUGAACGCACCUUGCGCCCCUUGGCAUUCCGAGGGGCACACCCGUUUGAGUGUCGUGAAAUCUUCAAAAACCCC